rnacentral:rRNA from 1 species
AGUCACUGACAUUAGAUACCCGUGUAGUCCUAGCCGUAAACGAUGCGGACUGGGUGUUAGGAUGGCUUUGAGCUGUUCCGGUGCCGAAGGGAAGCUGUUAAGUCCGCCGCCUGGGAAGUACGGUCGCAAGACUGAAACUUAAAGGAAUUGGCGGGGAGCACCACAACGCGUGGAGCCUGCGGUUUAAUUGGAUUCAACGCCGGAGAUCUCACCAGGGGCGACAGCAGUAUGAUGGCCAGGUUGAUGGCCUUGCUUGACAAGCUG